GAUGAACGCUGGCGGCGUGCUUAACACAUGCAAGUCGAACGAUGAUGCCCAGCUUGCUGGGCGGAUUAGUGGCGAACGGGUGAGUAACACGUGAGUAACCUGCCCUUUACUCUGGGAUAAGCCUCGGAAACUGGGUCUAAUACCGGAUACGACCAUCUGGCGCAUGUCAUGGUGGUGGGAAACUUUUGUGGUUUUGGAUGGACUCGCGGCCUAUCAGCUUGUUGGUGGGGUAAUGGCCUACCAAGGCGACGACGGGUAGCCGGCCUGAGAGGGUGACCGGCACCACGGGGAUUGAGAAACGGCCAGGAGGCCUACGGGAGGAAGGGGUGGGGAAUAUGGCACAAGGGGCGAAGGCAGGAUGCAGCGACGCCGGGUGGGGGAUGACGGCUUUCGGGUUGGAAACCUUUUGCAGUAGGGAAGAAGCGAAAGUAACGGUACCGGAAGAAGAAGCGCCGGCUAAUUAGGU
rnacentral:rRNA from 1 species